CAAGGACUCUGGUCAGCUUCCCCGUGAGAAGUCCCCGAACUUCAAUAAUCACAGCGGAGUGUGGAGACAGAGGCACCAAAAGGUCCCAUCCUUUCCGUAGAGGUAAUACAGCUCCGGUGAUGGCUCCGGUGAUGGCUCUGGUGAUAUGUGAGGUGGAUGCGGACAUCGAGCGGGCGUUAUGGUUGGAACAGUCGCCUUCACAGUGUCCUACCGGUCUCAGGCCGGUGGUAGCUGUUACCCUACAAGAAGUUGAGGUGCCGGAGGUCCCUCCGCCCCCUCUUUACAAGGAAGCCCUUUACACACAUGGAAGUGGUUCAAAGUGUUGAACACAGAAUCAAACUUGAUCACUUUAAUUAUGUCUUGGUCAGUAGAGGACAGCUCCUCAACACUAUCUUGAUAGUGUUCUCUUUGGGCCAAGCUUGUGAGGUGCUCUUUGAAAGGUCGGUCAACUAUGCAGUAUCGACAGAAAUACUUACUACAGUUAAAGUUCUGUAAACCCACCAAUACAGUGGAACCCAAGAUUGUCUCCAACAAUGGCGAUCAAUGACCUUUUAAGAGUUUCCCCAUCCCCUGUC